ACUUCCACACACAUUUUCUUCAGAAAAUGCAUUUCUCUAGUUCACGUGAUUUUCUGCAGAAAUACCUCCAUCAUGGUAUUUUCUAUACAUACUUCCACCUGUAACUGGACUUCUUCUAUGUGGCUUAAUGAUUGCUGUCUGCAUCUGCAGAAAAGCCAAGACCAGGACUCCAGACCAGGAUCCAAUCCAGGACCCUCAGUCCAGAGGAGAGGUGGUCCUCAUGCAACCACAGGGUGACACAGCUCACAGGACAAAUAACUGAAUAUAAAACAAAAGACAUGGACAGAAUGUACAAGUGAGGGGACACAUUUCAUGAGGUGUAAUAAUUAAAUCAAUGUGGCCUAAAGAAUGACAGCCUUUUCUAACCUUCUGAGAUAGAAUGUAAUUGAUAAAUAAAUUUUCUUGUAUUGGAAAAAAUUCCAUGAGGAAAUUUUAUGAUUUUAUUUUCUUGACAACAGAAACUUCAUGCCAGGUUGUUGUAUCUGCUUGGGUGUGUGACCAUAACACACAUGUAAAAUAUGUAUAAUACAAAUAUAAAUAUAUUUAGGAAGAAUAAAGGAUAUUGUGCUGUUUGUCUCUAAACUUGGAUGUGAUACUGUAACUGUCCAGCAGAUGAUCAUAAAAAGACGGCCUGGUUAAGCUGAUACUCUUCAAAACAUCAACAAUCGUCUUCUGGUUCAUGACUUUCUGCCCAACUGCAACAUGGGACAUAGACUGGUUAGAACUUUUCUUUCAUUUUACAAACAGCAGAGGAUCAAUUAGGAAUGAAAAGUUGAUCAGAUAUUGUCAGGCAUUAGUGCUGCACAGACAGAUAUAAACUUUAACUUAUGCUGUUACAGUGUCUUAUACGACAGUACUGUGUCACAGCUUUAGGUUAUCAGCUGAUCACUGUUUAAUUCUACUUCAUAAUAUAAGGAUCACAUUUUCACCCUUCACUCACAUAAUCACGCUUAG